UACGUAGGGGGCCAGCGUUGUCCGGAAUCAUUGGGCGUAAAGCGCGCGUAGGCGGCCAGAUAAGUCCGGUGUGAAAGUCAAAGGUCUCAACCUUUGAAUGCCGCUGGAAACUGUCUGGCUUGAGUCCGGGAGGGGCGAGUGGAAUUCCUGGUGUAGCGGUGAAAUGCGCAGAUAUCAGGAGGAACACCAAUGGCGAAGGCAGCUCGCUGGAACGGUACUGACGCUGAGGCGCGAAAGCGUGGGGAGCGAACAGG
rnacentral:rRNA from 1 species